CAGCAGCCACGGGAAUACGAAGGGGGCUAGCGUUGCUCGGAAUUACUGGGCGUAAAGCGUGCGUAGGCGGUUCGUUAAGUCUGUUGUGAAAGCCCCGGGCUCAACCUGGGAAUGGCAAUGGAUACUGGCGAGCUAGAGUGUGUCAGAGGAUGGUGGAAUUCCCGGUGUAGCGGUGAAAUGCGUUGAGAUCGGAAAGAACACCAACGGCGAAAGCACUCUGCUGGGCCGACACUGACACUGAGAGACGAAAGCUAGGGGAGCAAAUGGGAUUAGAUACCCCUGUAGUCCCUGUCUCUUAUAC
rnacentral:rRNA from 1 species